UACGGGAGGCAGCAGUGGGGAAUAUUGCACAAUGGGCGCAAGCCUGAUGCAGCCAUGCCGCGUGUAUGAAGAAGGCCUUCGGGUUGUAAAGUACUUUCAGUCGUGAGGAAGGUGUUAAGGUUAAUAACCUUAGCAAUUGACGUUAGCGACAGAAGAAGCACCGGCUAACUCCGUGCCAGCAGCCGCGGUAAUACGGAGGGUGCGAGCGUUAAUCGGAAUUACUGGGCGUAAAGGGCACGCAGGCGGUUAAUUAAGUUGGAUGUGAAAUUCCCGGGCUUAACCUGGGAAUGGCAUUCAAGACUGGUUAGCUAGAGUCUUGUAGAGGGGGUAGAAUUCCAUGUGUAGCGGUGAAAUGCGUAGAGAUGUGGAGGAAUACCGGUGGCGGAAGGCGGCCCCGUGGACAAAGACUGACGCUCAUGUGCGAAAGCGUGGGGAGCAAACAGGGAUUAGAUACC
rnacentral:rRNA from 1 species